GAGGCGUCUGGUCUCUUGGUAGUUAACUCGAAGUUGUUCACCGAAUGGUUGAAGUUCUUCAGAGACGAGGAGGCGGUCAUACAGAGCCGCAAUUCCGGGAUCUCCUUUGGCGAAAACCAUUUCGACUAGAUCAAUUGUGACACGGAAGAAUGGCCAUUGGUUGUACAUCUCUUUGAGCAUGUUGAGAUUCUUACUGUCCUUCUGUAUCACGCGUUUGAAUGCUCCUCCAAAGCCAAGCCACACGGGUAAGUGAAACCUCGUCUGAGUCCACGCAAAGAUCCACGGGAUUGCACGCAGCGACUCGAUUCCUCCGCUUGGUUUACGUUUUGAUGGUCGGCUUCCUAUGUUCAUCCUUCCAUACUCGAGCUCUGGUGUUGCCUAUAAUACAAACCCAAACCUGAACUUAGACUCUCUUUUUUAACUACAAUUUGUUUAAGAGAGGAGUAAUUGAGCUGGUUAAGAACUUACCAGACGGAAGUACUCAACAAAACGGGGCUCCUUGAAGACAACAGAACGGUAUUCUUCAGUGGCAAUUAUAGCCAUUUCAUCCAUGAGGACACGCCACUCAGGCUUAGGGGAAACCGGUGGAUGCAUUCCAUGCUCAAGUGUUGCAGCUGUGAAACGCUGAAGAGUCCUAAAGCAUAAGUGCUCUUCUCCGAAAGACUGUUCAAUAACUUCACCUUGAACCG
rnacentral:sRNA from 1 species